rnacentral:lncRNA from 1 species
GGAACCGGCGAAUCAAAACGGUGACUGAGUGUGUCCUCGGUCUCCCUGGAGUGAUGGCGAAGAUGUGGAUAGUCGGAUCUGAGCAGGAGGCACUGUCUAGGUGGUAGAUCUAGGGUUUUGAUUUCGAGCGGAUCUGGGUCAGUUUCUCUCUUGGAGGGUCCGACGGAGUGGCUGAGCGUCGCUGCCUUCGCCUCUCUUGUUGCUGCCUCCUCUGUCUCCCCUUGUCUCCUCUUCCGGCUGCUAUUGGUAAGAACUUCCCUC